AGGGCUGAGCUAGUGGGAUGCCAGGAACCAGGAGGAGUUUUGGGAUGCCCAGGGGAGGAUUUGUGGCUGACAGGGGUGGCGUGGGUGGAUGCAGAUGACAGAUUAGCCAGGAGAGGGGGCACACACCCAUCCUGAGAUGGGAGCGUGGAUGUGCCAGUGUCUGCAGCAGGGCUGUGCCGAGUCACCAGCUGAGGGCUGUAAAUCUCCAGGAAACUUCAGCACAGGGACAUCAGAACAAAACUCUCCUUCCCUGCACUGCCCGCCUUCAUUUACAACACGACUGGAAACCCUAAAUGUACCUGCUUACAGAUUAAAAGGAAGACAAACCCUGGGAUUAGGUUAUCAGGUCAGCUCUCCUUCCAGAGGAGGCCGACAGGCACAGGGGAUCUCCUGAAGCUGGAGACACGAGCUCUGGGAGCUGCUGUCAAGCAUGUGGAGUGUCCUGGAGAGACGGGUCACAACCAGCUCCUGAGUCCUCUCCUCUCUCCUUGGUGAGACUCAAACAUUUCCCUGACCUCAUCUUCCUGCCAGUGGAUUUACUAAUCCUUUGCCUGUGGAAUGACAGAGUCCUGCUUCCCAGGUCCCAAGAGAGGUGAGAGCAAACACAUGGAGCAGCUCAGAAUAUGGAAUGAUGCAGCUCACAGGAACCUCAGGACUGCCCCACCACCUGCAGCAGGAUCCAUCCUGUCUAAGGUGCUACCCAAGCCUCUGAGCAGGAAAAUGAAUGAUGUAACUGGGGCAUGGAUGGGCCCAGUUCAGAUGGAGGGGACACACAGAGCCUGGGUCCUUCCAGCUGAAUCCCCUCUCUCAUGAUGGAAACUGGGAGGAAUAGAAGGAAAGAAAAAGCCAACAGUGAAAUAUCCCUUGAAAUAUUCUCCCAGCUGACAGCAAUUGCUGCCUCAGGGAUUUCUCAGCUCAGAGAUUAUAUAAAUGUUUCCAACAGCCCUUGAUGGACUUACCUGUCACCGAGGCCCCCAGAUGCUGUUCUAACCCCUACAGACUUCUGGCAGAUGCAAUAUCUCGUGGUGAUGAGCUGCACCGUUCAAAAAUGUACCUCAUUUUGUUCAUUUUGAUAAUUGGGUUUGAUGUCAUUUUAUGAGAAACAGAGAACAGUCAUCCACUAUUCAUCUUGUCCCCAGCACUCCUGGUUUUAUAGAGCUCCAUUGUGUUCUUCCUCAGUCAUCUCUGUGUUCCAGGAAAGUGCCCCUUGAUUUAAUUAUCCUUUAGAUGGAAACUAUCCUGUAUCCAUUCUAGGUCCCUUCUAUCUUUCUAGAGCUGGACUAAUUAAAAGGAAACAGUGGUCAAAUUACAUGUACAUCAUUGAUGUAUUCAGAGCUGCAAAGGUAUUUCCAAGGUCAUUCUCCAUCUCUUCCAUUCUUUGUCCCCAAAUUCCCUGAUGUAUUUUCCACCUCUGACUGUUAUCAAGUACUGAUCCAGUGUUUUCA